rnacentral:rRNA from 1 species
AUACGUAGGUGGCAAGCGUUGUCCGGAUUUAUUGGGCGUAAAGCGAGCGCAGGCGGUUUCUUAAGUCUGAUGUGAAAGCCCCCGGCUUAACCGGGGAGGGUCAUUGGAAACUGGGAGACUUGAGUGCAGAAGAGGAGAGUGGAAUUCCAUGUGUAGCGGUGAAAUGCGUAGAUAUAUGGAGGAACACCAGUGGCGAAGGCGACUCUCUGGUCUGUAACUGACGCUGAGGCUCGAAAGCGUGGGGAGCAAACAGGAUUAGAUACCCUGGUAGUCCACGCCGUAAACGGUGAGUGCUAAGUGUUGGAGGGUUUCCGCCCUUCAGUGCUGCAGCUAACGCAUUAAGCACUCCGCCUGGGGAGUACGGCCGCAAGGCUGAAACUCAAAGGAAUUGACGGGG